rnacentral:lncRNA from 1 species
AAUAAUUUUACCAAAAUGUUUAUUUAUCAAAAGUAAAAUUUUAUUAACUUCAAUCAAAACAAAUAGACAACUCUGUCAGAUCAUGUAAGGAAACCUCUUAAAGGACAUGCCCUCAAAGAGGAAAAAACCAUACAAACUACAAUGAAUCUUAACAACCAUAAACAAGACUUAUAUAUAUAUAUUAUGUCCCUAUCUUUAGAGUCAUCUUUCAUGCCUGUUGUUGUUGUUUACCAUUCCAUUAAACCAGACCAGCAAGCUUUAGCCAACGUGAGCCUCCAUAUGAACCCAAUCAUGACUUUAAGCAGGUCAUCUAUGUUCCAUGAUUAAUGAAAAAUCUGAAAACAGGGUAUGAAACCUACAAGCUUCAACCAUGGCCAUCCCAUGGAGAACUUUCAUUUUGUCAGAAAACUAAGGAGCGCAAACCAGUUGUUUAAAUUGCCAAAGUCUAGCAAGGCAAAGGUGAUGUGAAACAUAAGACAAUUUAUAUGUUGUUAAUAUGUUGAUGCCAAUACUGACCACAUGUACAAAACAUAUAAUUCGGACAAUACCACCUACAAAGAAGCAAAAAAGAACUAGCCAAAAAGUAGAUACUUGAGAACAUCAACGUUUAAGCGAUGCAAAACAUAGCCAAAUCAAGCAAGACACAUUAUUACCAAAACUGAAAAAGUACAUGAAAGUCUACGUAUAAAGAAACAGUAUAAACAUACCCAUAGAUGGCUUUCAUUGAGAAUAUCUGGAACUUUGAGAAUUUCUCACAACAUUUUUGCUGAUAAUUUCCCUACAAAUCCCACAAAUUUGAUGGUGAAGUUACUCCCCACAUAUCUACUUGAAGAAUCCCCUGCAAAUGAAAAAAAGGUAUAUGGAUCACAAGUUUAUUCUUUUACAUACUUCUGAGAUUGUCCAUAUAGAUAUAUUCUGGACAACAGUACCAUAUAGUGCAAAUCAUAUAUAAGUGCUACAAAAUUUGAUAUUUGUGUUUUUAAGUUAAGAUCAGAAAUUAACAAACCUUGCUCACAGGGCUCUCUUGGUAUGUCAAAUAAGGACCUUAUUUUUGUUUAGCUAUUGGGCCUACACUUUCACAAGAUAAAAAAAAAAACUCUUAAAAUUGUUCGGUUGGACUUCAAUAAGUAGAAAAAGAAAUUAACACUUGAAAUUUGCCAAACCUCUGGUGAAUCUAAUAGCAUGCCAAGAAGAAUGAAAACAUCAACAAGACCUUGCACUCCGGCCUAUUUGAAUUCUUUGUCGUUGAAACAGGAUAGUAAUUAACAUCAAUGAUUUUAUUGUUGGAAUUAAUUUUGAAAAUAUCUAGCCUAUCCUAGAAAGUUCUAUUGUUAAUGAAGUAAGUUGUGUUUAGCUGUGUUCUAGGAACUUAGGAAGUAGUUAGUUGCUGCAUUUAUUAAUGUCUCUAGGAUGUUCUAAACUCUUAGUAUAAAUAGAGUAUGUACUCUCUUGUAAGCAAGAAGAAACCAAGUAAUAAAAAUUAUCUCCUCCAUUAAGCAUCUCUGUUCUUUCUUGCCACUAUCUCAAAACCUAUCAUUUAUUAAGGUCUGCAGUAACUAUGUAAUAACCUGUUAUCACACUAUAAAACCUAUUGUAAAUCCACUUGAUGAUGAUAACAACAUUAAAAACAAAGUAUACAAAUAUACAUGCACAGUUACUACUCUUCCUCUAAUGUAAGUACUUGUGAGAAGAUAACAUGAUUAUAAUUGAACCUAUUUAAUGACAAACCUCUUCAAGAUUGUCCAAGGAAAUACCGACUUCCAGAACCAGGGCUUCCAAUCAGCUUAGCUGGGUGGGAUACAAUUCUGCACAUGCUGCACAAUCCAAGUGAGCAUGUCAGAGGAAUAAAAGACAUGUCGCAAACUGUCAAAGUUACUUAAACUAGUAUAGGAGAUAUAGGUACAUGCAAGAGUUCAAGAAGCCAUUUUUGAAUAUAAAUUAAUCCAUACUAUUUAGUAUGGUGCUCCUUAAACAAUUCAAGGCCAUAUCAUAGUUCUCCCAACUCUGGAACGUAUAUAACUUAAUCUUGGCUCAAUUCUAAAAUCACUAUGAAAGUUCGUCCAGAAAACCAUGUUCCAGAUUAAGUUCUUCAACAAUCCAAAUUAACAAACCAUAAUAUUCCUUCAAAAAUUAGGAAAAAAAAAAAGGCUAAAUAUAUAAUACCAACAUGGCGACGAACAACAAAAACGAUUCUUUAUUUUCCCCUCUUUUCUUUAUAUAUUACAAUUGAUUGAAACAAAAAAAAAAAUACCCAAUUAUAAACUCUCUCUCUCUCUCUCUCUCUCUCUCCACAGUAGAGCAACAACAAACGUUUUCAUGCCCAACAACCACAACUUCAUAGAAAAUUAAACAUUUACUUUUCAUAAUUCAUUUAAGCGUUCCCAUUACAAUUGUUGUGGAAAAGUAAUAACUAAAACCUAAACUUUGAGAGCAAUUGAUUUGCUUACCUUACCACCUUUUCAAAUGCCUUCAACUUUAGAUUACAGUACCUAGCAAACUGAAUUCACAUUAAUAAAUCGAUUCCAAAUAAUAAUGAAAAAAGCUAACAAAAUUAAUUAAUUUGAAGCAAUUAAACUUCUAAAAACCCUAAUCCCAAAUUAGCAUAAGAGAAGGUGGGUCAUAAGAAGAAAGAGACCAUAUCGAGAGAAAUUGAGAGAUGAUAUGAAAAGAAAGACAUACCUCGGUUCUUUCCAUCUUACCCAACGAGAACAUUGUUCUCAUUGUUUUUGGCACUGCUAUGAAAUUAUGGAGAAAGUUAAAGAAGGAAGCAAAAAUUUAAACAACGCCUUAAAUUUUUUGUUUUGGUUCUUAAAUUUUGACGAAAUUUUGUUAGAGUUUUAAAACCACUUGGACGAAUGAAUUAGAAAGACCGACGCUGGUAAAGAGGAGUGCCAUUUCCGACAGCUUCAAAAAAAGUAGCGACGACUUUAAACCCUCGCAAAUCUGAUAACAAAUAUUGUUUCAGAAUAUCAAAUUUUAGCGACGACUCAAUUUUAAAUAGCGAGAUCCGUUGGCCGUCGAUAGUACUGCGAGAUCCGUAGGCCGUCGCUGAUCUCCCGUGGUAGCCGUCCCAAUUUGCUAUUUUUCUUCUAGUGAGGGUUUUGGUGAUUUAUAAUGGCUGCACAAAGUUGCUUCUUAGUUGCCUACGUAUCCAUA